GACGAACGCUGGCGGCGUGCUUAACACAUGCAAGUCGAACGGAAAGGCCUGCUUUCCCUUGUGGAUUGCGGGUGCUCGAGUGGCGAACGGGUGAGUAACACGUGAGUGAUCUGCCCCCAACUUGGGUAUAAGCCUGGGAAACUGGGUCUAAUUCCCGAUAGGACUGCAGGGUGGUGCCUGUGGUGGAAAACGAUUUUCUAGUGGUUGGGGAUGAGCUCGCGGCCUAUCAGCUUGUUGGUGGGGUAAUGGCCUACCAAGGCGGCGACGGGUAGCCGGCCUGAGAGGGUGGACGGCCACAUUGGGACUGAGAUACGGCCCAGUCUCCUACGGGAGGCAGCAGUGGGGAAUAUUGCACAAUGGGCGGAAGCCUGAUGCAGCGACGCCGCGUGGGGGAUGACGGCCUUCGGGUUGUAAACUCCUUUCGACCGCGAGGAAGCCACCUGGUUGGAAGGGUGGUGACGGUAGUGGUAGAAGAAGCACCGGCUAACUACGUG
rnacentral:rRNA from 1 species